rnacentral:tRNA from 1 species
GGUGGUGUAUCUCAGUGGUAGAAGUGCUUACUCAGCAUGCAAGAGGCCUUGGGUUCUAUCCCCAGCACAGCAA